UAGGUUGAAGCCCGCUGGCUUGGGUGUUUAGUUGUUAACUAGAAUUAUACGGGAUCGAAGCCCGUCAGCCUAGU
rnacentral:tRNA from 1 species